AGCUAAAAGAAACAGACCCACAGUCUUCCCUAAUCCGGCAAAAAAAAUAUAAAAAAAUCAACAUACGUAUGUAAAGCUGUGCUGUAUAUGUAUACUCCAAAAUUAAUUGUUUUUCCUUAGAGUCGUACAACUUUCACAUCUUGUGAUCCAGACGAAUGGGUUAUGACGAAUACAACACUAGAGUGGAGUAAUAACACAAAAAUGAUUACGUGUAACAUUACUUACAAAGAGGCGGACAAUCGCAUAAUAUACAGGAUACAUAUUAUGAUAGGCGGUUGUAAGAACCGUACUGCAUGUACUGAAGAACCAACAAUAUGGGUGGAAGAUAUCAACUGUAAUGCCCAAAAUCUUACAGAAUCAGACAUGGACGCUUGUAUAAUUGCAAAUGUAAUUAUAUUUUUACAAUUAUUAAUAUUAUUUCAAUUUUUGUUAUUUAUUUAUAUUAUACUAAUCAACAACAUCCAAAAGAACUAUUUUUACUUUAAGAUAUUUUUUUUUUGCGUUAUUACGAUAAAUCAAGCAAGUAACGUUAUAUCGC